rnacentral:rRNA from 1 species
GACGAACGCUGGCGGCGUGCCUAAUACAUGCAAGUAGAACGCUGAAGCUUGGUGCUUGCACCGAGCGGAUGAGUUGCGAACGGGUGAGUAACGCGUAGGUAACCUGCCUGGUAGCGGGGGAUAACUAUUGGAAACGAUAGCUAAUACCGCAUAGGAGUAGAUGUUGCAUGACAUUUGCUUAAAAGGUGCAAUUGCAUCACUACCAGAUGGACCUGCGUUGUAUUAGCUAGUUGGUGAGGUAACGGCUCACCAAGGCAACGAUACAUAGCCGACCUGAGAGGGUGAUCGGCCACACUGGGACUGAGACACGGCCCAGACUCCUACGGGAGGCAGCAGUAGGGAAUCUUCGGCAAUGGACGGAAGUCUGACCGAGCAACGCCGCGUGAGUGAAGAAGGUUUUCGGAUCGUAAAGCUCUGUUGUAAGAGAAGAACGAGUGUGAGAGUGGAAAGUUCACACUGUGACGGUAUCUUACCAGAAAGGGACGGCUAACUACGUG